rnacentral:rRNA from 1 species
GACGAACGCUGGCGGCGUGCUUAACACAUGCAAGUCGAACGGAAAGGCCUUUUCGGAGGUACUCGAGUGGCGAACGGGUGAGUAACACGUGGGUGAUCUGCCCUGCACUCUGGGAUAAGCCUGGGAAACUGGGUCUAAUACCGGAUAGGACCGCACUUUAGUGUGUGUGGUGGAAAGUUUUUUCGGUGUAGGAUGAGCCCGCGGCCUAUCAGCUUGUUGGUGGGGUAAUGGCCUACCAAGGCGGCGACGGGUAGCCGGACUGAGAGGUUGGUCGGCCACAUUGGGACUGAGAGACGGCCCAGACUCCUACGGGAGGCAGCAGUGGGGAAUAUUGCACAAUGGGCGCAAGCCUGAUGCAGCGACGCCGCGUGGGGGAUGACGGCCUUCGGGUUGUAAACUCCGUUCGCCAGGGACGAAGCGUUUUGUGACGGUACCUGGAGAAGAAGCACCGGCUAACUACGUG